UACGUAGGGUGCGAGCGUUGUCCGGAAUUAUUGGGCGUAAAGGGCUCGUAGGCGGUUUGUCGCGUCUGCUGUGAAAACCCGAGGCUCAACCUCGGGCCUGCAGUGGGUACGGGCAGACUAGAGUGAUGUAGGGGAGACUGGAAUUCCUGGUGUAGCGGUGAAAUGCGCAGAUAUCAGGAGGAACACCGAUGGCGAAGGCAGGUCUCUGGGCAUUAACUGACGCUGAGGAGCGAAAGCAUGGGGAGCGAACAGG
rnacentral:rRNA from 1 species